rnacentral:tRNA from 1 species
GAAUUAAAUUUAUUUAAGCUUCUAACUUAAAACAUAGCAGAAAUCUGUUAUUAAUUCU